rnacentral:rRNA from 1 species
UACGAAGGGGGCUAGCGUUGUUCGGAAUCACUGGGCGUAAAGGGCGCGUAGGCGGCUUUUCAAGUCGGGGGUGAAAGCCUGUGGCUCAACCACAGAAUUGCCUUCGAUACUGUUAGGCUUGAGACCGGAAGAGGUGAGUGGAACUGCGAGUGUAGAGGUGAAAUUCGUAGAUAUUCGCAAGAACACCAGGGGCGAAGGCGGCUCACUGGUCCGGAUCUGACGCUGAGGCGCGAAAGCGUGGGGAGCAA